rnacentral:rRNA from 1 species
UGGGGAAUUUUGGACAAUGGGCGCAAGCCUGAUCCAGCAAUGCCGCGUGCAGGAUGAAGGCCUUCGGGUUGUAAACUGCUUUUGUACGGAGCGAAAAGGUCUGCCCUAAUACGGUGGGCUCAUGACGGUACCGUAAGAAUAAGCACCGGCUAACUACGUGCCAGCAGCCGCGGUAAUACGUAGGGUGCGAGCGUUAAUCGGAAUUACUGGGCGUAAAGCGUGCGCAGGCGGUUAUAUAAGACAGAGGUGAAAUCCCCGGGCUCAACCUGGGAACUGCCUUUGUGACUGCAUAGCUAGAGUACGGUAGAGGGGGAUGGAAGUCCGCGUGUAGCAGUGAAAUGCGUAGAUAUGCGGAGGAGCACCGAUGGCGAAGGCAAUCCCCUGGACCUGUACUGACGCUCAUGCACGAAAGCGUGGGGAGCAAACA